rnacentral:rRNA from 1 species
GGACCCGCACAAGCGGUGGAGUAUGUGGCUUAAUUCGAUGCAACGCGAAGAACCUUACCUAGGCUUGACAUGCAUCUCUAAGCGCGUGAAAGCGCGUGACCCUUCGGGGGAUUUGCACAGGUGCUGCAUGGCCGUCGUCAGCUCGUGUCGUGAGAUGUUGGGUUAAGUCCCGCAACGAGCGCAACCCUUGUGAUUAGUUGCCAGCACGUUAAGGUGGGAACUCUAAUCAGACUGCCCAGAUCAACUGGGAGGAAGGUGGGGACGACGUCAGGUCAGUAUGGCCCUUACGCCUAGGGCUGCACACGUACUACAAUGCCCAGUACAAUGAGAACCGAGACCGCGAGGUGGAGGAAAUCUAAAAAACUGGGCCCAGUUCGGAUUGGAGGCUGCAACUCGCCUCCAUGAAGUUGGAAUCGCUAGUAAUGGCACAUCAGCUACGGUGCCGUGAAUACGUUCCCGGGUCUUGUACACACCGCCCGUCACAUCAUGGAAGCCGGUCGCACCCGAAGCGCUCGUACCAACCGUAAGGAGGUAGAGUUCUAAGGUGUAGCUGGUAACUGGGAUGAAGUCGUAACAAGGUAGCCGUAGGGGAACCUGCGGCU